rnacentral:misc_RNA from 1 species
AAUUCUCAACUCCCCUAUUUUGUAAUGAAAUGGGUCGUGGGCUUGGAUUAUGGCUGCCUGUCGCUCUUCAUUGAAGUCGGCUCAGCUGAAAUACACGAGCAACCCAAAGCUGAAACAGCGCGACGGCUUGACUCGGCGUAAUAACAUAUUUCGCUGAGGACGUCGCAUCUAUAAUGUUUCAUGCGGAGGUGCUUCUAAUGCGAAAUUUUUUCACUUUCAAGU